rnacentral:rRNA from 1 species
AGCGUUGUUCGGAAUUACUGGGCGUAAAGCGCACGUAGGCGGAUACUUAAGUCAGGGGUGAAAUCCCGGGGCUCAACCCCGGAACUGCCUUUGAUACUGGGUAUCUCGAGUCCGGAAGAGGUGAGUGGAAUUCCGAGUGUAGAGGUGAAAUUCGUAGAUAUCGGGAGGAACACCAGUGGCGAAGGCGGCGGCCUGGGCAGAUACUGACGCUGAGGUACGAAAGCGUGGGGAGCGAACAGG